rnacentral:rRNA from 1 species
GAUAAUUGGUUAAAAAUGCUUAAGUGUUAUAUUUAUGAAGAUGGAUUAUGUCUUGUGUUAAUAAAGGGUGAAAUCAAUUUUUUAUUAUAUAAGCAAUUCUUUUUAUGUAAAUAAAGCUGAGGUUAUUAAGAUUAAGGUAUGGACCAGGAUUAGAGACCCUGUUACACUUUUUUAUAAACACUAAUACCUAGGUAGUAAACAGUUAUAAUCUUGAAACUUAAAGGAUUUGGCGGUAACUUAGUCUAGUUAGAGGAACCUGUCCUGUAAUCGAUAAACCACGAAGAAUCUUACUUUAUUUUGAAAUAUUCAGUUUAUAUACCGUCAUUAUUAGAUAACUUUAGUAAAAUGUAGAAGUUAUUGAGGUAGUUUAAAGAGCUAGUAUAUUAGAUCAAGGUGUAGCUAAUGAUAAAGUAGAGAUGGGUUACAAUAAUAUUAGUUUAUGAAACGGAUUUAAAAGAGAAUAAUUUUAGUGAAGGAGGAUUUAAAUGUAAAUAUAUUUUAAUAUGAUAUUUUGAUUGUAGCUCUAGGUUAUGUACACAUCGCCCGUCGCUCU